rnacentral:rRNA from 1 species
UAGGGAAUCUUCGGCAAUGGGGGGAACCCUGACCGAGCAACGCCGCGUGAGUGAAGAAGGUUUUCGGAUCGUAAAGCUCUGUUGUUAAGGAAGAACGAGUGUGAGAAUGGAAAGUUCAUACUGUGACGGUACUUAACCAGAAAGGGACGGCUAACUACGUGCCAGCAGCCUCGGUAAUACGUAGGUCCCGAGCGUUGUCCGGAUUUAUUGGGCGUAAAGCGAGCGCAGGCGGUUAGAUAAGUCUGAAGUUAAAGGCAGUGGCUCAACCAUUGUAGGCUUUGGAAACUGUUUAACUUGAGUGCAGAAGGGGAGAGUGGAAUUCCAUGUGUAGCGGUGAAAUGCGUAGAUAUAUGGGGGAACACCGGUGGCGAAAGCGGCUCUCUGGUCUGUAACUGACGCUGAGGCUCGAAAGCGUGGGGAGCGAACAGG